UAAGCCUGCGAAGGUGGCCUGUGAGGGUUGCUGGAGGUAUCAGAAGUGCGAAUGCUGACAUAAGUAACGAUAAAGCGGGUGAAAAGCCCGCUCGCCGGAAGACCAAGGGUUCCUGUCCAACGUUAAUCGGGGCAGGGUGAGUCGACCCCUAAGGCGAGGCCGAAAGGCGUAGUCGAUGGGAAACGGGUUAAUAUUCCCGUACUUGGUGUUACUGCGAAGGGGGGACGGAGAAGGCUAUGUUGGCCGGGCGACGGUUGUCCCGGUUUAAGCGUGUAGGCUGGUUUUCCAGGCAAAUCCGGAAAAUCAAGGCUGAGGCGUGACGACGAGGCACUACGGUGCUGAAGCAACAAAUGCCCUGCUUCCAGGAAAAGCCUCUAAGCAUCAGGUAACAUCAAAUCGUACCCCAAACCGACACAGGUGGUCAGGUAGAGAAUACCAAGGCGCUUGAGAGAACUCGGGUGAAGGAACUAGGCAAAAUGGUGC
rnacentral:rRNA from 1 species